CAGCCAAAGUGGUAGAAAGGUGGCAGAGUAGGUGAGCUAUCCAGGGACUUGUGGCGGGGGGAGAGGGGCAGUGAGCUCAGGGGCCAAGGAUUGGAUGCACUAUCGUGAACUACACUGCCCAAGGCUUUUCUGGCUUUGCCCAUCCAGUUGCUCCGUGCCAGGAGAAGGAGUAGCCACCUGCACAUGCUGGAGGCUGGAGCCAGGGACACCACGGCUUGCCUCGCUGUGGUUGGCGUGGUGGCAGCGAUGGAGACUGCAGAGUGCCAGAGAGGACCUUGGUGCUUGUAGCAUCUACCUACCUCCUGUCGUUGUGAUGAGGACACUUUGAAAACGGGAUGGGAGCUACAUAUGCAAAAGAUGCCAUACAGAUGCUAUAUUAACCUGCAUUAUAGUCCCAC
rnacentral:lncRNA from 10 species